GUCUACGGCCACACCACCCUGAAAGCGCCCGUUCUCUUCUGAUCGCGGAAGCUAAGCAGGGUCGGGCUGGUAGGUACUUAGAUGGGAGAUUCUCCUGCCUCAUCCUCCCAGAAUGCUGGGCUUACAGGCC
ensembl:rRNA 5S_rRNA 5S ribosomal RNA